GGGGAUACAGCUCAGUUGGCAGAGUGCUUGCUUUGUAUGCAUAAGGCCCUGGGUUCGAUCCCCAGCACCCCCC
rnacentral:tRNA from 1 species